rnacentral:rRNA from 1 species
AGAGAGUCAAAAAGACCGCGAAACCGUUAGGAGGGAAACGAAUGCUGCUGAAGUGGCUCCCCGUCAGGCUCAGGAGAGGUCGUUGGGUCCGGCGGCGGUGCGGUUGCUCGCCGCGCUGCCGUCAGGCGCUCGACGACCGAUCUGCACUUCUGCGGGGAGCCGGCCAACGGCAGUCGUUCCCGGCCCAGGAGGGCGUCGUGGGAAGGUGGCCCCGCGUUCGCGUGGGGACCUUACAGCCCGGCGUCUGGCGUUCCGGGACGCGACUGAGGAGAGUUCAUGCGAGACUUUUUCGCACGAGCAGCGCAGGCCGUCCCCCCGGGGGUGGCUGGGCCGCUCUCGCUCGGCGUGCGGCCGCGGCGGUCACUGCGUGCAGUGGGUUUGCCGACGGUCCCGCGCGUCUGGGAGGGAGGCCGGUCGCACCUUGCGCUGCGGUCGUUGGUGUCCGAAUGGCCGCAUCCGACCCGUCU